rnacentral:tRNA from 3 species
GGUGAGAUGUCCGAGUGGCCGAAGGUGCUUCCCUGCUAAGGAAGUGUGGGUUUUAUAGCUCACCGAGGGUUCGAAUCCCUCUCUCACCGCCA